UACGUAGGGUGCAAGCGUUGUCCGGAAUCAUUGGGCGUAAAGAGCGUGUAGGCGGUUCGGUAAGUCGGCUGUGAAAGUCCAGGCUCAACCCUGGGAUGCCGGUCGAUACUGCCGGACUAGAGUUCGGAAGAGGCGAGUGGAAUUCCCGGUGUAGCGGUGAAAUGCGUAGAUAUCGUAAGGAAGACCAGUGGCGAAGGCGGGUCUCUGGACAGUUCCUGACGCUGAGGCACGAAGGUCAGGGAGCAAACGGG
rnacentral:rRNA from 1 species